UUUUUUACAUUUGGAUUGGAAAAAACUGUGAUAACAACUUCAUAAAAGAUGUCCUUGGAUACCCAAACUAUGCAUCAGUACCACAGAAAAUGACACAGCUUCCUGAAGUAGAUGCACUUUCUUCAGAAAGGACACGAUCUUUUAUAUCUUGGCUUAGGGACAGUAGACCUUUAAGUCCAGUUCUUCAUGUAAUAAAGGAUGAGAACCCUGCCAAAACAGAUUUUUUUCAGCAUUUAAUUGAGGAUCGGACAGAAGCAGCUUUCUCAUAUUAUGAAUUCUUACUUAAUAUUCAACAGCAGAUCUGUAAGUGAAAAAGGAACAAAAAGAAGAAAAAUCCUGACUUCAGAUAGAAGCAUGGGCCCAGAGAAGCAUAUGGGAAGUUACAAAAAGUGGAUGCUUGUUCUUCAAACAAUAUACAGUGACCAACACUGUUUUGGAAGCUUUACAGCUAAAGAAGUAUACAUUUCCAAAAGAAUUUUGCAGAUUUACUUCAGUCUAAAAGUGGUAGGAGUGAUGAAGCUGUUUGACUAGUAAACUUUAAAUUGGUUUGUACACGUUUCCAGUUGUGCAGCGGUAUGGUGCUCUGUUUAUUGCAAGCUGGUGAAUUUAUGUAGCUAUGUGGGAUAUUUCUUAACAAAAUGUACAAUUAGGUAAAGCCUUUUUUCUUACAUUUAUUAUAGUAGCCCUGCCAGAUCCAAAUUCUUAACAGAGAUGUCAAAGGGCAGUGAUGUAUGUUGGUUGUUUAUAUGAAUUUCUUUUUAAAAGGAAUGAUUAAUACUUACUAAAGACUUCAGCAAAUUCCCUCCGAAAGUUGUAGAGUUUCAGUAAAGUACAUCAGUUGUAGAAAUAAAAUAUAUAAUGUACAUAAGUAUUACAUUUGUAAAGAAAAUGUAAAAAAUGUAACUAAAAAAAAAAAGACUUAGCUCAGUGUGCAGACGUGUUGAGUGCUCAACGAUGAAUUGUUCCGUCCCAGGCUAGACAAUGAAGUUGACUAUUAAAACAUGCUAAAAAAAGUAUCCAUGUAGAAG